ACGGCUCAGUAACACGUGGCUAAUCUGCCCUUGGGAUAGGAACAUCCCCGGGAAACUGGGGCUAAUUCCCAAUAGGCGAAGAACUCUGGAAUGAGUCUUCACCAGAAAAGACGUUUACGUUAUGCUCGUAAGCGUCGCCCAAGGAUGAGGCCGCGACCGAUCAGGUUGUUGGUGAGGUAAUGGCUCACCAAGCCUUUUACCGGUGCGGGCCGUGAGAGCGGGAGCCCGGAGAUGGGCACUGAGACAAGGGCCCAGGCCCUACGGGGCGCAGCAGUCGCGAAAACUUUGCAAUACACGAAAGUGUGACAGGGCUAUCCCGAGUGCCAUCCGCUGAGGAAGGCUUUUACCCAGUCUAGAACGCUGGGGGAAUAAGGAGAGGGCAAGUCUGGUGUCAGCCGCCGCGGUAAUACCAGCUCUUCGAGUGGUGUGGAUGUUUAUUGGGCCUAAAGCAUCCGUAGCUGGCUGAGUUAGUCCCCUGUUAAAUCCACCGAAUUAAUCGUUGGAUUGCGGGGGAUACUGCUCGGCUAGGGGACGAGAGAGGCAGACGGUAUUUCCGGGGUAGGGGUGAAAUCCUAUAAUCCCGGGAAGACCACCAGUGGCGAAGGCUGUCUGCUAGAACGCGCCCGACGGUGGGGGAUGAAAGCUGGGGGAGCGAACCGGAUUAGAUACCCGGGUAGUCCCAGCUGUAAACGAUGCAGCUAGGUGUUUGGACGGCCACGUGCCGUUCUAGUGCCGCAGGAAGCUGUUAAGCCUGCCGCCUGGGGGGUACGAUCGCAAAAUUGAAACUUAAAGGAAUUGGCGGGGGAGCAC
rnacentral:rRNA from 1 species